GACGGAGGAUGCAAGCGUUAUCCGGAAUGAUUGGGCGUAAAGCGUCCGCAGGUGGCAGUUCAAGUCUGCUGUCAAAGACCGGGGCUUAACUUCGGAAAGGCAGUGGAAACUGAACAGCUAGAGUAUGGUAGGGGCAGAGGGAAUUCCUGGUGUAGCGGUGAAAUGCGUAGAGAUCAGGAAGAACAUCGGUGGCGAAGGCGGCAUCCUGGACCAACACUGACGCUGAGGAGCGAAAGCCAGGGGAGCAAACGGG
rnacentral:rRNA from 1 species